rnacentral:rRNA from 1 species
GACGAACGCUGGCGGCGUGCUUAACACAUGCAAGUCGAACGGAAAGGCCCUGCUUUUGUGGGGUGCUCGAGUGGCGAACGGGUGAGUAACACGUGAGUAACCUGCCCUUGACUUUGGGAUAACUUCAGGAAACUGGGGCGAAUACCGGAUAGGAGCUCCUGCUGCAUGGUGGGGGUUGGAAAGUUUCGGCGGUUGGGGAUGGACUCGCGGCUUAUCAGCUUGUUGGUGGGGUAGUGGCUUACCAAGGCUUUGACGGGUAGCCGGCCUGAGAGGGUGACCGGGCACAAUGGGACUGAGAGAGGCCGCAGAAUCCUACGGGAGGCAGCAGUGGGGAAUCUUGCGCAAUGGGCGGAAGCCUGAUGCAGCAACGCUGCGUGCGGGAUGCCGGGCUUCGGGUUGUAAACCGCUUUCGCCGGUGACGAAGCGUGAGUGACGGUAAUGAGUAAAGAAGCACCGGCUAACUACGUG